rnacentral:rRNA from 1 species
GAUGAACGCUAGCGGGAGGCCUAACACAUGCAAGCCGAGCGGUAUUGUUUCUUCGGAAAUGAGAGAGCGGCGUACGGGUGCGGAACACGUGUGCAACCUGCCUUUAUCUGGGGGAUAGCCUUUCGAAAGGAAGAUUAAUACUCCAUAAUAUAUUGAACGGCAUCGUUUAAUAUUGAAAGCUCCGGCGGAUAGAGAUGGGCACGCGCAAGAUUAGCUAGUUGGUGAGGUAACGGCUCACCAAGGCAAUGAUCUUUAGGGGGCCUGAGAGGGUGAUCCCCCACACUGGUACUGAGACACGGACCAGACUCCUACGGGAGGCAGCAGUGAGGAAUAUUGGCAAUGGGUGCAAGCCUGAACCAGCCAUGCCGCGUGUGUGAAGAAGGUCUUCGGAUUGUAAAGCACUUUAAGUUGGGAGAAGGCAUUAACCUAUACGUUAGUGUUUUGACGUUACCGACAGAAUAAGCACCGGCUAACUCUGUGCCAGCAGCCGA